rnacentral:rRNA from 1 species
CCUACGGGGGACAGCAGUGAGGAAUAUUGGUCAAUGGACGCAAGUCUGAACCAGCCAUGCCGCGUGCAGGAAGACGGCUCUAUGAGUUGUAAACUGCUUUUGUACGAGGGUAAACGCAGAUACGCGUAUCUGUCUGAAAGUAUCGUACGAAUAAGGAUCGGCUAACUCCUUGCCAGCAGCCGCGGUAAUACGGAGGAUUCAAGCGUUAUCCGGAUUUAUUGGGUUUAAAGGGUGCGUAGGCGGUCGGAUAAGUUAGAGGUGAAAUCCCGAGGCUCAACUUCGGAAUUGCCUCUGAUACUGUGCGGCUAGAGAGUAGUUGCGGUAGGCGGAAUGUAUGGUGUAGCGGUGAAAUGCUUAGAGAUCAUACAGAACACCGAUUGCGAAGGCAGCUUACCAAGCUACUUCUGACGUUGAGGCACGAAAGCGUGGGGAGCAAACAGGAUUAGAUACCCGGGUAGUC